GGCGUUUUCGUUGAGCCAGUUUCCUAAACUGAGGGCCGCGUGUUCGAGUCACGCCGGGGUCACCA
rnacentral:tRNA from 1 species